UACGUAGGUGGCAAGCGUUGUCCGGAAUUAUUGGGCGUAAAGCGCGCGCAGGCGGUCCUUUAAGUCUGAUGUGAAAGCCCACGGCUCAACCGUGGAGGGUCAUUGGAAACUGGGGGACUUGAGUACAGAAGAGGAAAGCGGAAUUCCACGUGUAGCGGUGAAAUGCGUAGAGAUGUGGAGGAACACCAGUGGCGAAGGCGGCUUUCUGGUCUGUAACUGACGCUAAGGCGCGAAAGCGUGGGGAGCAAACAGG
rnacentral:rRNA from 1 species